UUAUCGCUCUUUUAUUUUAUUUUAUUUUAUUUUUCUCGUAUUUACAUAACUCAUUUUAUACUAUCGCAUUUGGAAUAUUAUAUAAACUACUACUAUACAUUAGUAUUUCUAUUUUUUAUCUAUAUGUGUUUUAUGUUUAUUUUAUUUGCAUUUUAAUUUUUCAGUUAUUUAUUUAUUUAUAUUUAAUUUUUGUUUUUGUUUCAGUUUCACUUUUAUUUUUGUUUUUACUUUUAUAAAAUUAUGGAAGUCAAAG
rnacentral:lncRNA from 1 species